CACACGGCCUGUGAGAGCUGUGCACAGUGUGCCCCCAUGCAGACUCUGAUUUCCAUUCUACUUCCUUCUGUAAGUGUCCUCUCCCAUUGACCACUGACUUUCUUUUUUUUUUUUGAUGCCAGGGAUCAAACUCAGGACCUUUUGCUUUCAAGGCAGGCGCAGUGCCACUGAGCUGCAUCCCCAGCUACAUCCUCCCAUUGACUUUCCACCCUCAAGCCAGGUUGUAUCCUGUUUGCAGCUGUCCUUUUCCCGGACUGCAUCUGGGUCCUCAGGCUUAUUCUGUAGCCACACCGGACGUGGGAAAAACUUAAGCCUGAGACAAACAGGAAGAGAACCUGAGGACCUCAGGUUUCCAACUGCCCUGAACACGAGCUGAUGACUAUAUUGCAGUGGAGUCUGCGCCAGGGGAGGUGUGGAACUUUGACUUGGGGCUGUGGAGCU
rnacentral:lncRNA from 1 species